GGCAAGUGCCACACACGUUAGUGUGAUGGUGUGUGGGUUGCGAACAUUCCCCUCGCAAACACCGCCGUCCUUCAUGGGAGCAGAUUUGUCGUUUUUUCUCAGCUUUUUUCUGUUCUACAAACAACCUGCACUGGGCAUGUGUAUACUGUUCACCCAUUACUCGAGUUAGAGGAGAAAAGGCAAGCGAGGGAACACGCUGUUCGUGAAUGUAACCAACAAAGAAAUUGAGGGGCCGACCUGAAAGAAGUGGGUUUGGAAAAAGAGCCGAAGUUCCCAUCACGUGAUGACGCCAUCGAGUCCGCAGCUUGUACGAGGAAGCAUUCGCAAUCAAGUGGAUCCUGAGAAGAGCGGCAACAAAGAAGAUAAGAUAAGUGACUCUGUGCAAUCAGUGUGACUUGUCUCUCCCUUUGAAGGGCUACAAUUAAGGGCUCAUUUAAGUUAAGGUGUUAUUUAUUUAUCAAAGACGCAUCGGAUUAGUUUUAACCUGGAAAUAGCGGUUGAGAAAAAAGAUCAUUUUACUCAGUUAGCAAAAAAUGCUUUUAUGUUUGAACUUCGUAUUUCAAAGCUAAACAGGAAACCAACCUCAGUCUUCAUAAAUGAUUUUUCUCUUUUAACAAUCUUUCUUGCCAAUUCAUUUUUGAUAGCUGGGAAGCAGGUUUAUUUUGCGUUUAUGAUGCCCCAUUUGUAAAGAACAUCAAUUUCUGGGAUAAAUAGCAUGAUGUGCCAUGCAAAAUGUAUCAAAUCUUCACUCAACCUUCCUUACAAAAGGUAAAUAAACGGAUUAAAAUGACUGAACUUGUGUUUUUAUGUAUGUUUUCCACAAUUUUGAAGAUCACUUUUGGAUAUUUUUGCCUGCUAUUACAGAUCAAAUUUAUGUUUACCAAAGGCUGUGAUCAGUGAGCCAAGUUCAUUCAGAAGACUCUUCGCAAGCAGCAGGUCGCAGAUGAGCUGGAGCCUACCUCCACUGACUUUGCGCAAGAGGCAGCGUACAUCCUGGACCAGUCGGCAGCCGAUCGCCAGACAAACUACGACUCACACUCACAUUCACACCUAUGGGCAAUGUAACCUAGGAUGCAUGUUUUGGGGAUGUGGGAGGAAGCCGCAGUACCCACAGAAAACCCACCCAAGCACAGGGACGGCCCGAGCUCUCUUGCCUGGCAGCUCCAUCCUCAUCAUCCUGCUACCAAUCUACUCAGUAUCUCUCCUCUGGACGUGUCCAAACCAUCAAAGUCUGCUCUCUCUAACUUUGUCUCCAAAACAUCAAACCUUGGCUGUCCCUCAGGUUGCCGCUCCGCUUGAUGAGGCAUUUUUUGAAGUCCAGGCUCCUUGAUGAAAGACAAGGUGAUGGGAGAGCAGGGGGAGGAGGAAGAGAGGAUGUACGUGAAAAGGGAAUAUGAUGAUCUUGUUUAUUGGCUGAGGAGGAGACAGAAAUGACAAAAGCAAAAGGAGAAGCACAGCAGCGCUGGUGUCAGAUGUUACAAAUCCCUGCAAGGAGGAGAAAGAUGACAAGAGACAAAAGCUUUGUGAUGUUAAGAUUGAACUCAUCUGUUAGAAGAGAAGCUAAAAAUGGAGAAAUUGGUCUCUAAAAUAUGAAAAGCUCUUGGCUGAUGCUCGGGGUUGGUUUAAGAUUCUUUGCGUUAUUGAUGAGCCUGUCAGGCCAACUCUUCAUCAGGUUGUGGGAAGCCUGUGGGUGGAGAGAUGAAGAGGAGAAGUGAAGAGAAAUGCAAAGAGGCAGUCUAUGGGUGAAAGGAUGGGUUCGACUGAAGGUCUACAGAGUGUGGAAGCAGUUUCCUGAAUAAUAGUGAAUAAUGAACAGAGACAGAAGUGGAGGAAGAAGAUGGGAAUAGAGUUGAAGGACUUCAAAGCAAAGCCCCGAUGUCAUGGCUAAUCAUCGUACCGUCAAGAAUGUCCAUACUUGAGACAUUCAUUCAGCCAUGUAACACGAGAUGUACUGUCGACAAGUAUAAGUCCAGUAAAUAGGUAUUUUGACGUCUGGCAAGUACAAUGGCGGAGAGUGAAAAGUCAAGAUAUGGCAUUGCAGCCAUAAUAGCUUCCAAUCUUCUGGGAAGACUUUCUACAAUAUAGAAGAAGGAGCAACCCCUCAUUCAUUGUUUAACACAUUUAGGGGGUGUCACUGACAGUGUUUAUGUCAUGGUAUUGAAUUCAUCAAUGUUUCUGCGCACGUAAUUCAUUUGAAGUAACUUAUUUAUCAGUACGAGCUGACUGUGCAGAACCUGAUUGUUUUUUCAUCUGUGUGCUUACUUGGGCCAAGAUGGACAGAGUGACUGCAGAGACAACUGAGUCAUCCCAUCUGCCAGUUGGCCAAGAGGAGCAGCAGUCCGCCAGUCUGCCUGUCUCUUUCAAACAUGACCGUGAUUAUUUCUCUUGGCACAAUCGACUUGUGUGGCUUUCAAAUGCCCAACAUCUGACCUAUAUUCUGUUGCGAUUUUGCUUUUUUCAACCCCGAGCCCUCCUGUCAUUUUCUUCCCCCUGUUCGUCCUCUUCUUUUAGUUGAUAUUUAGGUCAGGAAGGGGACCACAUUUUUAUUCUGAGGCUGAGAGCUUACUGUCCACUCGCUGUCCAACCCCUGAUAUGUAAUUGAAAACACACAGAUGGAUUAGCUGGAGAGAGAUCAAUGCAAGUGGUCAGUGGAUUUGGAACCUCUACACAGUAGGGAGAGGAAGAGGGGUGGAUGAUGGACAGUUCCAGGGAUUUAGACUCGCUCUUGAUCAGCUGGAGUAUGUUGAAUCCAAUAUUAAAUUCGCCAUGUGCCCAGACAAUGACAUGCAAGCACAUGGACCACAGAGGGUGUAAAAGUGCAUACAAAUGUGCAUCAUGCAUUCAUUUACAUUUUGCACAUAAAUCGAACCCGUUCUGUGUGAAUCAUAGUAGACAUAAUGACUAAUAAUCAGAUGUACACUUGCGACCAGUGAUCUUUCUCAUUAUCGGGUCUGUGAUGUAUUCCAUCAUGCCUCCCUUGAAGUAAUUCAUCGAGACUACAGUGUUGAUUCAGCCAGUCUGACUUUACUUCACGUUUGGUGACCUGACAGACAGUUUAGCAAAUGUACUUCCUAAAGCAAGGGUCUGCAACCCGCGGCUCCAGAGCCGCAUGCAGUUCUUUCAUCCUUGUGCUGUGGCCCUCUGUGGCUUUGGGGAAACGAAGGGGACAUCUAGCCGUGAUGUGUCGACACUAUACACUGAGGUUCAGAAGCAAAAAAGAAAUAAAUCACAUUAACCAGGUCAAAUGUUUUUAUUGCCUAUACAUAUACAACCCCAAUUCCUGUGUGUAAGCAAUAUCGAAACUGAUGGCCCAUAGAGUUCCAUCAUCCAAAGAGGAUGGAACUCUGUACUAGCAUUGAGCUGUCCCCAUUAUAAACUGUCAGAGAGGUAUUCAUCUAAAUUGGUGUAGAAGUGCUCUUUUUUCGAGUCAUCUAUUUAACUACCCACAAAUUUGCGUGGUCCAGUCAUCUUAUGUCUCUUGUACAGUAUGUCCUCCUCCGUGAACCGGGAACAAACAGACGUACAAACAAACACAAAUGUCUGAGCUCUACUGUGUGACAUUACAGUUAUCGUUGUACUGAAUGUUUUCCAGUUUUUUUUUUCCUCAUUUCCAUUGGCUCAAAUCCUUUAAGACAGACUAGCUUUUGUUAUUUCUAGUCAUCUUUACUUUUAUGAUGUUUCUCUUGCUGUUUCUAGCUUGUCUUUCGCAGUCAAGGUCAGCCACUUGUAAUAUGUUGCUCAGUGCUUCAGUUUGCUUCGGAGAUGAUCGCUAAAGCGCUGACAACAUGACCUUCUCCCUGACUGAUAUUGGUCAAGUGGGCUGUUUCUAUUAAUGAGCGCAUCAGUGUGACACUGGGCUUAAAGUCGCGUAUAUGUUGAAAUGUUAAAUGUAGUGCUUAAUACGGUGGUGGCAGGAAUACAUUCUGUCUUCCUGAAGUGCAUAAGUAGCAUAAAAUACAUUGUAGCAAAGGGGAUGGAGAAGGCAGUCGGACAGGAGCUCUAGAGAGAUGAUGAGGAAAGAAGAGGAAUACAAAUAGGAGGUGCGCGGUGGGUUUCACCAGGAGGAAGGAGGAAGGAGAGGGGGAGAAGACAAGAUCAAAGAAGCCAGAUGAGAGAAAGGGAGUAAGGGUGGAAAUAUAGAUAGCGGAGAAGACAAAGAAGAGUGGAAGAGUGGAAGAGCGGUUUAGAAAGACAACGAUGUACUGAGCGAAUCAGCCGUCUUGCCAGCGCUUCUGUGACCUAGAUUCUCUGCUUCUCCCUGAAUCCCUCUCUCAUGAAUGUUUGAUUAGGCCUCCAACAAGAGCUGUGUUUACACUUUUUUAAAUUACUACUCAUCUGCAGAGGGGAGGGGAAAUCAAAGCCAUUCAGCGUGGCAGGAAAAUGGGAGAAGAAUUGAUUUGAGGUGAAUCGCUCAAAGGGCCAAACUGGGCUGCACACGCACACAGACACACACACAAACACAAAAACACACACAGUCCUCAUCAUCAAUCAAUCAAGUUUAUUUAUAGAGCACUUUUCAUACAACAGAUAGUAACACAAAGUGCUUUCAACAAUAAAAGUCAAGGUUAACGGCCUGACAGACACGCACACACACAUACAUAGAAUCAGGAAACACUUGAGUAAAAGGUGUUCAAAACAGAUGCAUUAAAAACAAUUGGAAUUGCAAAUGUUUACCAUCUAAAACAAUAAAUACGAAAAUACUUAGCAAAAGUACAAAGAAGGAAAAUAGAAACAACCAUACAACAAAAUAUAUAAAUGAACUGACCUAAAGCGGGCAUAAACAUUGAUUUGAAUUAUAAAAGGGGAAAAUAAAUAGGUAAAAUAUUAUGAAACAUAAGUAUGUUCAAUUAGUAGGCAAAAAGGUCAAGCUUGAGUUUCUGUUUUGGGCCCCCCUGAGCAGUCGUCUGACUGAGCCACUUUGCCAUCCGUACUCUAACUCUGGCAAAUUCUCAGCAUCCCCGAACCUUGGCUCGGCACACCUUGGAACAUCAACCAUCACCAUGGUCACAGAUAAACCUCUGUCUGUGUUGCUAUGGUAACCAUUCUGGGAAGUGAAACCCGUGACAGCCACGAGGAGCGCGAUAGAGAGGAGCCAUAAACUUAAGACAACAAAAUGGCGCCGAGAUUAAACAAACUCCUGCUAUCACAACAAACAACAAUGGAUGCUGGGAAAGCACAAAUGUCAUUUUGCUCCUUUCUCUGUCCUCAACUCAUUUUCCCCAGUGGACAUAUGCGCAUGGGUGCAUGGGUGCAUAAACAUAAACAUGAAGGCACACAUGCACACACAGCCUUUCAUCCCAUUCCAGUAACCAGAGAGAAUUGGUUCAGCAUCAGUAAUCUCCGAAAAGCCCACUUUUUGGAAGCUGCUGCAAGUGGAGCAGCACAGAUGAACGGCUAGUUAAAGCUAACAGCUAACAAAGUCGAACAUGAAUAUGACAUACAGCAGCACCGUGUAAGCGAUGAGGCAUAGGAUUGUGAUGCACUUCUUAAUUGAUGAAUUUGCAGUAUUUUAAUUAUUCAGUUAAUUAACCAGGUGUUGAUUUGCAUCAUCAACACUCGUUCCUCUGAACGAGUGUUGAGAAAGCGAGAGGGCGAGAGAGGGAGCGGGAGAGAGAGACAAACAAUUUACCGCAAGGUGUUUUCUCAAGUUAGAAGUGGGCUGAAAUGUCCAAGUUUAGCUAGUCACAAUUUAAGAGCUACAUGGCAAAGCUGUUGUUCUUCUGAGUCUCUAAAGUAAACACUGGUGCGGCUGUUUUUUUCCCCCUAAAAUGAGUCACUUUGAUUGGCCCACGAAGGGUUUGUGUGCAGUCAUGUGACUGCCUUGUGCCGUCUGAUUGGUGAACAGGGGGGCCCAAAACAUGUCACUCGUGAUCACGUUGGAUUGGCGCAACGGCGCCCUAUGCGGAAGUCGAAGAUGAAGUCUAAAAAUAGAUCGCGCACGCACUAAUGGAUAAAUAAAAGUGAUGUCGAUCAUUGUAAUGGAGUAAAAGUAGCAAUUCUUUCUUCACACAAGUAAAAGUGUGGUUCAUUCAAACUACUCUCAUUCAUUCAUCUUCUGUACCGCCCGCUAUGUUCGGGCGAGAGGCGGGGUACACCCUGAACUGGUCGCACUCACAUUCACACCUAUGGGCAAUUUAGAGUCUAUGGGCAAUUAACCUAGCAUGCAUGUUUUUUGGGGGAUGUGGGAGGAAACCGGAGUAUGUAUAAAAGUGUGACACAAGUGUGUGUACGUGUGUGUUUGUGUGACCUCCAGCUUAAUUGCACUUUAUUAAACCAGUUUAUUUCUUUACAUUCUGUUUUAUUGAAUUAUAUGAUAUUUGAAUAGAACAUUAUUGACAGUGCAAACUAUAAAAUCUUGUAAUAAAUCUUUCCUCUCAU